GGAUGGGUGGCCGAGUGGACUAAGGCGGCAGUCUUGAAAACUGCUGUACGCAUCGCGUACCGGGGGUUCGAAUCCCUCCCCAUCCG
rnacentral:tRNA from 1 species